rnacentral:rRNA from 1 species
UCGGGAAUCUUGCACAAUGGGCGAAAGCCUGAUGCAGCAACGCCGCGUGAGUGAAGAAGGCCUUUGGGUUGUAAAGCUCUUUCGGCUGGGAAAAAGGGUUUUGGGGUAAACAAUCUCAAUGCUUGAUGGUACCAGAAGAAGAAGCACCUGCUAACUACGUGCCAGCAGCAGCGGUAAUACGUAGGGUGCAAGCGUUGUUCGGAAUUAUUGGGCGUAAAGCGCGCGUAGGUUGGUUAGUAAGUCGAUUGUGAAAGCCCUGGGCUCAACCCUGGAAUUGCAGUCGAUACUGCUGAUCUUGAAUGUUCGAGAGGGUGGUGGAAUUCCUGGUGUAGAAGUGAAAUUCGUAGAUAUCAGGAGGAACACCCGAGGCGAAGGCGACCACCUGGCGAAACAUUGACGC